AAGAAAAUUAUAAUUAAUUUGAAAUUGAUUAAAGAAGUGAUUCAUUUUCUUG
rnacentral:tRNA from 1 species